GAUGGAAAUACUUUAUGGCUCUUAAAAUUAAUAUCUAGUUGAAAACUAAUUAUACGGAUUAUAACGAGUUAAAAAAAAAAUAAACACAAUAGACAUACUCCGCAUAAUUUGUAGGCUUCUGUUGUAGGUGGGAUUUUAGGAACGUAAAAAAAUAAUUCGGUUAUUAAUGUUAUUAGUUUAAUUAUAGUGAUGGGCACAACCGAAUAGUUGAACGGAGCGUUUAAGAACAAAAGGAUCGAUAUCACUUCUGUGACUUCUCCUGAGUACAUCUGUUUUUGUAGAUUGUCUAUAAACUUCUUUGUUUUGAUGUUAUCGAUGUUUUUGUAAAUUAUUUUUUUCACAUUGGGGCGAUUUUGUAUUAAAUCCAAAAGAAGAGAUUUUUUUUUUGGGGGGGGGGGGGGGGGUUGGUAUGGAUUUUUCCUUUAAUUUUUGUGAUAGAAUCUUGUUUGGUAUGAAACGUUUCCCAUAACUUUUACCAAAAAAUUUUACCUGAAAAACUGCAGAUGUGCAGAGUAAAAGUUUUUCUCGAGAAUGUGGAGAAAGGUCCAAGUUCAGGUUUAUCAGGAAUUUUUCGUACCUACGGUUAAUGACAACUCUUUGAA